GACGGAGGGGGCUAGCGUUGUUCGGAAUUACUGGGCGUAAAACGCACGUAGGCGGCCUUUCGAGUCAGGCGUGAAAGCCCCGGGCUUAACCCGGGAAUUGCGUUUGAUACUGUUGGGCUUGAGACCGGGAGAGGAUAGCGGAAUUCCCAGUGUAGAGGUGAAAUUCGUAGAUAUUGGGAAGAACACCAGUGGCGAAGGCGGCUAUCUGGACCGGUACUGACGCUGAGGUGCGAAAGCGUGGGGAGCAAACAGG
rnacentral:rRNA from 1 species